AUUGAACGCUGGCGGCAUGCUUUACACAUGCAAGUCGAACGGUAACAGGCCGCAAGGUGCUGACGAGUGGCGAACGGGUGAGUAAUGCAUCGGAACGUGCCCAGUCGUGGGGGAUAACUACUCGAAAGAGUGGCUAAUACCGCAUACGAUCUAUGGAUGAAAGCGGGGGACCGUAAGGCCUCGCGCGAUUGGAGCGGCCGAUGUCAGAUUAGGUAGUUGGUGGGGUAAAGGCUCACCAAGCCAACGAUCUGUAGCUGGUCCGAGAGGACGACCAGCCACACUGGGACUGAGACACGGCCCAGACUCCUACGGGAGGCAGCAGUGGGGAAUUUUGGACAAUGGGCGCAAGCCUGAUCCAGCAAUGCCGCGUGCAGGAAGAAGGCCUUCGGGUUGUAAACUGCUUUUGUACGGAACGAAACGGCUCUGGUUAAUACCCGGGGCUAAUGACGGUACCGUAAGAAUAAGCACCGGCUAACUACGUG
rnacentral:rRNA from 1 species